GAUGAAGAACGUAGUGAAAUGCGAUAAGUAAUGCGAAUUGCAGAAUUCAGUGAAUCAUCGAAUCUUUGAACGCACAUUGCGCCCCCUGGUAUUCCGGGGGGCAUGCCUGUUCGAGCGUCAUUUCACCACUCAAGCCUCGCUUGGUAUUGGGCAACGCGGUCCGCCGCGUGCCUCAAAUCGACCGGCUGGGUCUUCUGUCCCCUAAGCGUUGUGGAAACUAUUCGCUAAAGGGUGUUCGGGAGGCUACGCCGUAAAACAACCCCAUUUCUAAGGUUGACCUCGGAUCAGGUAGGGAUACCCGCUGAACUUAAGCAUAUCAAUAAGCGGAGGA
rnacentral:misc_RNA from 1 species